AUUGAACGCUGGCGGCAGGCCUAACACAUGCAAGUCGCACGAGUGGCGGACGGGUGAGUAAUGUCUGGGCAACUGCCUGAUGGAGGGGGAUAACUACUGGAAAGGGUAGCUAAUACCGCAAACCAUCGACUGUGCCCAGAAUGGAUUAGCUAGUAGGUGGGGUAAAGGCUCACCUAGGCGACGAUCCCUAGCUGGUCUGCGAGGAUGACCAGUCACGCUGGAACCUAGACACGGUACAUACUCCUACAGAAGGCACCGGAGGGGAAUAUUGCCCACUAGUCGCAAGCCUGAUCUAGCCCUGCCACGUGUAUGAAGAGGGCCCUGGGUUUGUAUAGUUCUUCCAGCGAGGAGGCAUUGCCCGCAGAAGCAGCGCCGGCUACCUCCGUGCCAUCAGCCGCGGUAAUAC
rnacentral:rRNA from 1 species